ensembl:lncRNA
AAAAAAUGGCUGCAAAACUGCUGCUGAGAGUGAGGAGCGAAAGAUGUGAGAGAACAGCCCUACAGGCACCAGUGUCAGCGCAGAAGGAGGGCAGGAGGAACUCCAGGCACAGCAGCAGCUUCCUGCAGCCCAGGAACGGCCCACAAAGGAGUAGGCUGUCCCUCUGCAGCCCCUGAGUACCUUGCGGAGCAGAUCUCCCCGUGAAGCUACGGAGGAGCCGGCGGGGCAGCCAUGAAUGAGGCCUGAAGGAGGCACAGCCCUGGGUACCCCCGCGGGAGCGGCCCGGGCCGGAGCUGCCGCCCGUGAGGACCGGUGUAGAGCAGUGCCUGAAAGGUGGGCACCGUGGUACGGAGCCCUGUUGGAGCAGUGCUGGGAGAGCUGCAGUCUGUGGGAAACCCACGCAGGAUCAGUUCAGGAAGGACGGCACGCUGUGGGAGGGAUCCACGUGGAGAGGAGGCAGAGAGAGACCAUGGAGGAGCAGCAGAGACCAAGUGUUACAGACUGACCACUGCCACAUUCCUCAUUACCCUGCGCCACUUGUAGGAAUGAGGUGGGGAUGUCUUUGCAGUGCCACACCUGCAGAGAAUGGGAGGGAGUGAAGGCACUCAGUGGCAUGUGAUACUUACCUAAUAAGACUAUGUGAAACACUAAAGUCUUGAAGAUUCAGGUCGGUACUCCAGAAGUGAAUUUUAUCUUUUAUCGUGCUUUCAUAUAAUUAGAAAAUUUCUGCUGCCUUCUCAUAACCUACAGGACAAGACAGAAUCUAAGUCUUCAGUGAUUUCUGUAUUUGUCAGCCAGAAGAAAACUCUUGUAAGAGUACUACCAUAAUAACAGGUCUCAAAGGGCAACAGCAGAAGAAUGAAAAUACUUUUCUCGUGAAAUGAAUGAAGAAAUAAAGACAAAUGCAUAUACUAUUGUAUCAAAGAAAAUCAUUUUUUAAGAUGUGGAAUAUUUUGCUGCUUAAGGAACAGAAAAAAAAAUGAAAUAGCUGUCAUUUUUAGAUGUUAAUUGUAGAAAUUAUUGUAAAAAAAGAAAUGAACCUUGUGUGGGGUCUACUGUAACUGCUACCCACUAAUUUUUGUUUACAAAACAGUACAAGACUAGGUUGGAAUAUGACUCACUCUGGAAUUCCAUUACUCUAUCAACUGAUAUAUUGACAAUAUGUUCUUUUAUCUCCUAUUUUCACCCAGUGUAACCAUUGAUUUUCCAAAGCAGAAAAAUGGGAUUCUAGAAUGUCACGGAGUUAUCUAGAUCAAUCUAUGCUCAUGACAGGGGGCAGCAGGCCCGUGGGCCCCCUGUCCCCAAAAUGGGAAGGGAAAAAGGGGAAAGGUAGGGAGAUGGGAGAUGGGCCCAAAAACAGAACAGCAGCAAUGAUCUAAGGAGGAAAACUUAAUUUUACUACUAUCAUAUCAGAAUGCAGGUUAACACAAUAUAAUACAAUAUAAUUGAAAUUGAGGCUAAUAAUUCAAAUGAAAUAAUG